UAGGGAAUUUUCGUCAAUGGGGGAACCCUGAACGAGCAAUGCCGCGUGUGUGAAGAAGGUCUUCGGAUCGUAAAGCACUGUUGUAAGUGAAGAAUGCCAUAUAGAGGAAAUGCUUGUGGGUGACGGUAGCUUACCAGAAAGCCACGGCUAACUACGUGCCAGCAGCCGCGGUAAUACGUAGGUGGCAAGCGUUAUCCGGAAUCAUUGGGCGUAAAGGGUGCGUAGGUGGCACGAUAAGUCUGAAGUAAAAGGCAACAGCUCAACUGUUGUAUGCUUUGGAAACUGUCGAGCUAGAGUGCAGAAGAGGGCGAUGGAAUUCCAUGUGUAGCGGUAAAAUGCGUAGAUAUAUGGAGGAACACCAGUGGCGAAGGCGGUCGCCUGGUCUGUAACUGACACUGAUGCACGAAAGCGUGGGGAGCAAAUAGGGAUUAGAUACC
rnacentral:rRNA from 1 species